ACCUGGCUGCAGCCAAAUAAAACUGUUUCCUGCUGUCUUCGGUGCCUUGCCUCAUUUGUCCCAUUUGGCGACCCAGAUGGGACAGAGCAGGUAAGGAAGGCUGUUCUGCCUCUCUUGUCUCCGGGGACCGGCUUCCCUGGGGUGAUGGGGGACAGCGGUCCCCUUGGCGUGCCCAGUCCACUCUUGGCCUGAAGAGUGAUCGACUCACCAAGAGCCCUGGGGCUGCCACCCUGGAGCACAACAGGACCCACAGGCAGCAGGAACCAGAAUUAGGGUUUUGAGCACCUCCCAGCUAAACAGCUGCAGUCAAGUUUGCAGAGACAGGUCCCUGGAUUCACUACACCAGACUCACGCCUGCAGCUGCGGACUGGGAGUGCUCUCCAGAUGCUGCUACGCCCUUGACGCUGACCAUCCCGAAGAAAAAGGAGCACCGGAGAAGCUUGAGGAUCAGAAGGACAACAGCCCUGCUCCAGUCACUCCGGAAGCUGACUGGUCUAUGCACGGCCGAAGCUUGAGGAGACUACGGCCCUGUUUCAGCCACACAGGAGGGAAUGGCUGAUCAAUGCCCCGUGAAAGAUAAACUUCCCACCAGGACUAAUGAACUCUUUCAACCUCUGAGAUAGUUCUUAUACUGUAAUGCAUUGCCACCCCUUGCUUCUAGAUAUAUACACAGUUCUCUGUUUGGUUUUAGCUACUGGUUUGAUAACAGUAACUCCUACUGACUGGAUUCUGGGUAACAAAAUUUCACUUAUACUUUUUUAUCUUGCUUAUAUAAGCUUUCUAGGAUUUGUUUGGUGUUUUAGUUUUGCUUUGUUAAUUUAUGCUGUUUAACCUAUGCUAACCAAAACAUUACUCUAUUAUUUAGUUUGGUUUCCUUUGAUAACCUUAAGGGAUUCUGCCCUACUCCUAUUCCAACCACGGAGAUCAUGUAAACCAUGUGUCAAGACAAUCCACUAUAACUAAGAGGUGGUAAAACAUACAUUUAAGACCUGUCCCACCAGAGGAAUGCUAUAGAUGGAUGACUAUUUGGAAAGGAAAAAGAGGUCCAUUGGAAAGAAACUUGAUUUAGGAGGUCAUCGAUCUUGGGGUGAAGGUAACUGGCCACCCCAGAGGAUUAUUGCCACUUAUGAUCCCGCUACCUGAGCACAAAAUGGCAGUUGGAGCUAUAGAACUUCUAUUUACAUGUUAAACAGAAUUAUUCACUUACAAGCUGUACUAGAAAUUAUUAUUAAUCAGACUGCCACAGCCUUUGACCUCCUAGCCACACAACAGAUCAGAUGCGAGUGGCUAACUAUCAGAACCGCUUGGCAUUAGAUUACUUACUGGUUGAGAAAAAAGAAAUACGUGGAGAGUUCAACACCUCAAAUUGUGGCAUCCAAAUGGAUGACAAUAGACAAGCAGUUAACGAUACCAACAACACAAGAGAACUAGCACAUGUGUUAGUUCAUAUCUAGAAGGGCAUUAAAGUUUGGGUCCCAACCAUGCUUUUGGGAGAUGGUUUUCAACUCUUGUAGAUUUAAAAGCUUAACUAGUGUAGUGGGUAUUCUGUUUGGCUCCACUGUGCAUUAAAACUAUUGGGUCCACUGUAGAAGCUUCUGUUGAAAGUAUGACAACAACUAAGAUUUUGACAUUGUAUAACACUUUAAGCCAAGAUAAUGGUAAUGAUGCUCUUAAAUUUAAAGGAUUAAAUUAUGGGGAGCAUCAUUAAAUGGGGAAUUGAAGUGGCACCCCCUUUCUCCACAGAAAAGCCCGAUUCACCAUGGCUGAUUUUAGGACUGUCAGCAAGAGAGUCUCUGAGAAAGAGUUCAAUGGAGAUAAAUUUCCUAUUUUCAUGUUGCCCCGUUUACUUGGCCACUGGCAGAGAAGAUACCAGCACUCCAGGUGCUAGACACCCCCUUAUUAGUUUUUCACAAACAGUAUCCAGUACACUAGUUUGUAGAAAUGUGCCAACAAGGCCUCUGGCCUUGAGCUGGGCUUCACAGAGAUGUCUAUAUUUUUAAGAUAAGUUACAAAUGGGCCCAUGGUAACAGUUGGCAGGGGGAGGAAGGAGAGGGGAGAAGAAGCUCCCCCCUUCUCAGGUGUUGUCCUUGAAGAGUUAACUUGCCCAGAACAAUGAGAGAAAAAGCUGCUUUUAUGUGAACUUCUGCAGACCGGGAACUUCUGAGCCCCUCCCCUUACACGCUGGGUAUAAAAUUCUGAAACUCUCUGAACUCGGGGUUCAGGGGAUUGAUUAUAGCAAAGGCUGUGUCCCCUGAACCUGGCUGUAGCCAAAUAAAACUGUUUCCUGCUGUCUUCA